rnacentral:rRNA from 1 species
UGGCGGCGUGGAUUAGGCAUGCAAGUCGAGCGGGUAGUCUUUUGCUUGCAAAAGACGAAAGCGGCGAAAGGGAGAGUAACACGUGGACACCUACCCUCGGGUCUGGGAUAGCGGCGGGAAACCGCCGGUAAUACCGGAUAACGUCUCCGGACCAAAGGUGUGAUUCCGUCUGAGGAUGGGUCCGCGUCCUAUUAGCUAGUUGGUGGGGUAACGGCCUACCAAGGCUCUGAUGGGUAGCGGGUGUGAGAGCACGACCCGCCUCACUGGGACUGAGACACUGCCCAGACACCUACGGGUGGCUGCAGUCGAGAAUCUUCGGCAAUGGGCGCAAGCCUGACCGAGCGACGCCGCGUGCGGGAUGAAGGCCUUCGGGUUGUAAACCGCUGUCAGAGGGGCGGAAAUGCAUUGGGGUACUCCCCAGUGUUUGACUUAACCUCAGAGGAAGCACGGGCUAAAUUCGUGCCAGCAGCCGCGGUAAGACGAACCGUGCAAACGUUAUUCGGAAUCACUGGGCUUAAAGCGUGCGUAGGCGGCUGAGAAAGUUGGGUGUGAAAUCCCUCGGCUCAACCGAGGAAUUGCGCUCAAAACUACUUGGCUUGAGGGAGUUAGAGGUGAGCGGAACUAAUGGUGGAGCGGUGAAAUGCGUUGAUAUCAUUAGGAACACCGGUGGCGAAAGCGGCUCACUGGGACUCUUCUGACGCUGAGGCACGAAAGCUAG